rnacentral:tRNA from 1 species
GCAAGUGUAGCUUAAUUAAAGCAUAACGCUGAAGACGUUAAGACGGGCCGUAAAAAGCCCCACAAGCA